rnacentral:rRNA from 1 species
AACGAACGCUGGCGGCAUGCCUAACACAUGCAAGUCGAACGAGACCUUCGGGUCUAGUGGCGCACGGGUGCGUAACGCGUGGGAACCUGCCCUUAGGUUCGGAAUAACUCCCCGAAAGGGGUGCUAAUACCGGAUAAUGUCUUCGGACCAAAGAUUUAUCGCCUUUGGAUGGGCCCGCGUUGGAUUAGCUAGUUGGUAGGGUAAAAGCCUACCAAGGCGACGAUCCAUAGCUGGUCUGAGAGGAUGAUCAGCCACACUGGGACUGAGACACGGCCCAGACUCCUACGGGAGGCAGCAGUGGGGAAUAUUGGACAAUGGGCGAAAGCCUGAUCCAGCAAUGCCGCGUGAGUGAUGAAGGCCUUAGGGUUGUAAAGCUCUUUUACCCGGGAUGAUAAUGACAGUACCGGGAGAAUAAGCCCGGCUAACUCCGUG